UACGAACCGUGCGAACGUUGUUCGGAUUCACUGGGCUUAAAGGGCGCGUAGGCGGGCGGUCAAGUCAGGGGUGAAAUCUUUCGGCCCAACCGGAAAAGUGCCUCUGAUACUGGCCGCCUCGAGGGAGGUAGGGGCAUGUGGAACUUCCGGUGGAGCGGUGAAAUGCGUAGAUAUCGGAAGGAACGCCGGUGGCGAAAGCGACGUGCUGGACCUCUUCUGACGCUGAGGCGCGAAAGCCAGGGGAGCAAACGGG
rnacentral:rRNA from 1 species